GAUGAACGCUGGCGGCGUGCCUAAUACAUGCAAGUCGAGCGAACAGAUGAGGAGCUUGCUCCUCUGACGUUAGCGGCGGACGGGUGAGUAACACGUGGAUAACCUACCUAUAAGACUGGGAUAACUUCGGGAAACCGGAGCUAAUACCGGAUAAUAUAUUGAACCGCAUGGUUCAAUAGUGAAAGACGGUUUUGCUGUCACUUAUAGAUGGAUCCGCGCCGCAUUAGCUAGUUGGUAAGGUAACGGCUUACCAAGGCAACGAUGCGUAGCCGACCUGAGAGGGUGACGGCCAACACGGAAAGUGAGAACGGGCCAAGCCCCCUCGGGGGGGAGCAGGGGGGGAUUUGCCGGCAGGGGGGGAAAGCCUGAGGGAGCACGGCCGCGUGAGUAAUGAAGGUUUCGGAAUCUAAAAAUUUUUUUAUGGGAGAAAAAAAAUGGUGAAAGUAAUUAUCCCCGUCUGGAGGGUACCUAAUAAGAAGGCCGGGGCUAACCCGGGC
rnacentral:rRNA from 1 species